GACGUAGGGGGCGAGCGUUAUUCGGAAUUACUGGGCGUAAAGGGCGCGUAGGCGGCCUAGUGUGUUGGGGGUGAAAUCCCACGGCUCAACCCUGGGACUGCUCUUGAGACUGCUAGGCUCGAGGGUGGAAGAGGGAGAUGGAAUUCCCAGUGUAGCGGUGAAAUUCGUAGAUAUCGGGAAGAACGCCGGUGGUGAAGACGGUCUCCUGGGCUACUCCUGACGCUGAGGAGCGAAAGCGAGGGGAGCAAACGGG
rnacentral:rRNA from 1 species